rnacentral:lncRNA from 1 species
CUUAUCAAGAUAAAAGUUAUUAAGGAUCAAGCCAAAGUUGUUGCUCUAUCGUCAUAUACACAUGCAAAGCUAUUCACUCCAAGGAUUGAUUUUUUGAGAAUGAUUGAAAAUUUUCAAGUUCUAAAGUUCCAACAGUUUGAUAGCAAAGGAAAUCUACGUCAACAUGUGCAUUUCGUGGAAACCUACAAUAGUGUUGACAAUUAUGGAGUGUAAUAGGCCCAAUUUGCCCGGAGGGCCUACAAUAAAUCAAAAAACCAAAAACCAAAAAAUAUGUGUAUCAAAUAAAAAUAAAUAAACUAAGGUGUUUAUGAGGCCAACGUCCAUUUACAAAAUUCUGGGCCUAAAUUAAACCCAAACCGAUUAACCCAAACUUAAUUUCAGGCUUAAACCCAAACCUAUAGCUUAACAAUUAUAUCCAAAAUCCUUAACCCAAUAAACCUAGCCCAAAUGACCCAAUAAUCCUAACCCAUGUAUAGAAUUUCAGGCUUAAAUUAAAACCCAAGCAAUCCACUCAAUGCCCAGACCCGAUUCCAGUAGCCCAAAUCUGAGACCCAACAGAACCCAAAGAAACUCAGCAGCCGAGAAACUUCUGGAAUAUGCUAGAAUAGUGCCAAAGGGUCGGGCUCCCACGAGCGGUUCCCAACAUGGCCUCCUUCACGAGAGCCUCCCCUCGUUCCUCUGUACAGUCGAGCCUGCAAAAAGAAUACACCAGAAGGAGCCAAUAACAGCAUACAUAGCAAAUGACAGUAGGAAAAUAGGAUUUUCAAUUUUUUACUUAUUUUGUAAAUCUGGCUAUAAAAAGCCAUUGAUGUAAUCCUUUUAAUCUUACGCACACUAUACGCAUACGAAAUACAAGAGAGGCAACCCAAAAAUUAUAAGGUGAUCCUAUUUUUUUUGUUUUUGCAAUUUACUUCUUUUUUGGUUUUGCAUAUUUAUUAUUUGUGCAGAGAAAAGUAAAAAGGAAGGGUUUACCUUCAUAAGUACACCAUCGGAACCCCUAUCUCCUUCAUCGCAAUCGGAGCUUGAGAUGGGAUCUUUAAGUUAAAAUCAGCAGUCACAAGUGGUUUUUCAAACGGGGAAAAGAGGGGUAUAUACUCAUCGCCAUUCAUCAAAUACAAUGGUGCCAUGACGAUUAAUGAGCUUUUUUUGGCUAAACUUGAUGAGAAUUGAAAGGGUGCUAUGGUUUUGUUUCUUUUGUCAGCCAAAUGAGGGGAAAAUGGGGCAUUAGGGUUUUGAUUCAAUUGUAGCUUGAAGAAAUGGAAGAUUGCCAUUCAAUUUCCUGUAAUUUUGGAUUAAAAAUGAAACGUCGCCGUUUAAGGAUAAGAGAUCCGUGCGUCGACCCGUUCCAGGACCCGGAUCCGCGCCUUAGCUCUUCAAAUGGGGAAUUUGCGCGUUAGAUCCUUCCCCCCGCUCGAGCAUUCAAUUGUGCCUUGUUUGAUUUACUUUGUUUUUUAAAUUUGGCUCCAUAAUUUGCGUGCAUUUUCAUUUUAGUCCGCUACCCAGCGCUGCAUUUUAGGACUUGGAUUAUUUCCAGUUCUAGUCCUUAUACAUUUGCGCGCAUUACAUAUUGGUGUUUUUUUCGAUUAUUUUAUUUGUAAAUUGUCCCUUUUGUUUCAAUUUUGUUUUAAUUAAGUUUUGUAUCCUC